AAUUGAUAGGUCUACCUUUUGUGAACUUUCAUUAUCCUCCCUCCUCAUGGGGGAAAUUUGAAAAUAUCUUAAAGAUCUGGGUUUUUGAUAACGGAAUUUCAAGGUCCAAGGCAAUGUCUCCUAAACUUACUGCAGGCAUAAUUUUUUUAAUCCAAAACUAAAUAUAAGUGUUGAUAUUAGUUGGCAGGAGUCUUUACUUCAACACUGUGUUCUGAGGCAUUUCUAAUACCCUAAGACUUCUUUUAAAAUGGUAGAUAUUUUCUAAGAUGCCUUUUCCAUCUGACCAGAAAUCAAAGCCUUUGCUUAUUCCUUAUUUUUAGGAUGGACAUUUUUUGAAAGGUGUAUAUAUGCCUUAAUUUCUGAAAAACAUAGACUCAGCUUUCAUUUGACAGCCAAUUUGACAUGCUCCUAUGAACUUCACGUUGGUGUGAUUAGGCUACUUCUAGGAAGAAAGCAUUUUUCUAUAGUAAAUGAACAGGGCCCAGGACUUGGAAGUCUAGGUCCUGACAGACUAGUAUUAGGUAGGCCUAUUACAUGACUUUGGUCCAAGGAGUCCUAGUUUCACAGUACUGUCAAGAGGCUAAGGCCUAGUAACGUUCCACAAACACUCAACACACAGACAGGAAUAACAGCAGGUGAUAAUGCUUGACAGACAGACAGGAAUAACAGCAGGUGAUAAUACCUGAUAGACAGACAGGAAUAACAGCAGGUGAUAAUGCCUGACAGACAGGAAUAACAGCAGGUGAUAAUGCUUGACAGACAGGAAUAACAGCAGGUGAUAAUGCCUGACAGACAGGAAUAACAGCAGGUGAUAAUGCUUGACCGACAGACAGACAGGAAUAACAGCAGGUGAUAAUGCUUGACAGACAGGAAUAACAGCAGGGGAUAAUGCCUGACAGACAGACAGGAAUAACAGCAGGUGAUAAUGCUUGACGGACAGACAGGAAUAACAGCAGGUGAUAAUGCUUGACGAACAGACAGGAAUAACAGCAGGUGAUAAUGCUUGACAGACAGACAGGAAUAACAGCAGGUGAUAAUGCUUGACAGACAGACAGGAAUAACAGCAGGUGAUAAUACCUGAUAGACAGACAGGAAUAACAGCAGGUGAUAAUGCCUGACAGACAGGAAUAACAGCAGGUGAUAAUGCCUGACAGACAGGAAUAACAGCAGGUGAUAAUGCUUGACAGACAGGAAUAACAGAAGGUGAUUAUGAUUGACACACAGACCGAAAUAACAGCAGGCGAAAAUGCCUGACAGACAGGAAUAACAGCAGGUGAUAAUACCUGACAGACAGGAAUAACAGCAGGUGAUAAUGCUUGACACACAGACAGGAAUAACAGCAAGUGAUAAUGCUGCUCUGGCCUUCUACUCCCCCUCACCCACUUCUUCAAACAACCAGGCUAGAAAUGGUGUCAAUAGUUUUGCACAAUAACACAUAGAUGUUGAAACUGCAUACACACACGUCUGGUAAGAAUAUUUAACAAGGUUACACUGUACACUACUGUACAUGCAGAAAGUUAUCCUACAUUUCACAAAGAUGGGAAUAAAUUGCCAACAAUGUGCAUGGAUAGCAGGCAACACUAGGAUCCAUAAUGACAAAGCACAUAAAGCCAGGUACAUGUCAACAUUAUCAUAUAGCUGGUUGAAUGGAAAUAAAAAAGGUAAGGUAGAGCUAGCAGCAGGUUUUACCAGUUUGUACCUACCAUGUCCUCUUUGACCUCUGUGUGUGUGUGUGUGUGUGUGUGUGUGUGUGUGUGUGUUACGUGUUCAUAUGCAAGUUUAUGUCAGUGUGCACAUGUCUGUACAGGAUGUGUGUAUAUACAGUAACAUGUCUAGUGUGUUUGGUGUGUGUAUAUUCCUACCUGCCAGGUCCUUCUCCUCCUCCUCCAGCUCCUCUUUUAGCUCCUGUAGUUUGCCCAGAGGGUGCAGAGCGGGCACCGUCACCCCAGG